UACGUAGGGGGCUAGCGUUGUCCGGAUUUAUUGGGCGUAAAGAGCGUGUAGGCGGCCAGGUAGGUCCGCUGUGAAAGUCCGAGGCUCAACCUCGGAAUGUCGGCGGAAACCCUCUGGCUAGAGUCCGGAAGAGGAGAGUGGAAUUCCCGGUGUAGCGGUGAAAUGCGCAGAUAUCGGGAGGAACACCGAUGGCGAAGGCAGGUCUCUGGGCAUUAACUGACGCUGAGGAGCGAAAGCAUGGGGAGCGAACAGG
rnacentral:rRNA from 1 species